GACGAACGCUGGCGGCGUGCUUAACACAUGCAAGUCGAACGAAGUGGCGAACGGGUGAGUAACGAGUAAUCAACCGGCCCUUCAGAGGGGGACAACAGUUGGAAACGACUGCUAAUACCGCAUACUGAAGGAGGGGAUUGCGUCUGAUUAGCUAGUUGGAGGGGUAAUGGACACACAAGGAGAUGAUCAGUAGUCGGUCGUGGGGGAGGAGCGGCCACAAUGGCACUUAGACACGGCCCAGACUGCUACGUGAGGCAGCAGGGGGGAAUCUUCCGAAAUGGAGGAAAGUCUGACGGAGCAACGCCGAGUGAGUGAUGACGGCCUUCGGGUUGUAAAGCUCUGUUAAUCGGGACGCGGUACCGGAAUAGAAAGCAACGGCUAACUACGUGCCAGCCGCCGCGGUAAUUC
rnacentral:rRNA from 1 species